GGAUGUAUUUGGUCUCCUCUGGGUUUGUUCUCUCUUUGUUUAUCCAUUCUUGCAUCAUUUUCUCUGGAUUCUGUCCUUGGAUGACUUUCUAUCCUGCUUUCGAGCUGCUGGUUCAAUCCACACCAUAGAUUUUGAUUAACACCUCUGUAUGCAAAUAAUUCUGAAAUCCAUCUUUCCUACCAAGACAUUAGUUUUAAAGUGUAGGCGACAUUUCCAACUGGCAACAAUCCUCACCUUUAUGUCUCAGAGGCCUCUCACACUUAAUAUACUAAGCUAAAUUCAUUAUUUUCCCCAGUCCUACUUUUUUUUGUUUGUUUGAGACAGAGUCUUGGUCUGUCACCCAGGCUGGAGCACAGUGGCAUGAACUCAGCCUACUGCAACCUCUGCCUUUUGGAUUCAAGUGAUUCUCCUGCCUCAGCCUCCUGAGUAGCUGGGAUUACAGGCACCUGCCACCACGCCUAACUAAUUUUUGUAUUUUUAGUAGAGACGGAGUUUUACCCUGUUGAUCAGGCUGGUCUUGAACUCCUGACCUCAAGUGAUCCGCCCAACUUGGCCUCCCAAAGUGCUGGGAUGACAAUCAUGAGCCAUAGCACCCAGCCCUCAGUCCUGUGUCUUAUCUCCCUUCCAGGUUUGGGCCAUAUUUUUGACUGAAGACACUGGUGCCUGCAUUGUCCACUUCAAGGAAUUAGCCCUGCGUUCAUCCCAGAUUCCCCUCUCUUUAAAAGUGAAAUUAUUGAAUUUGGUUUAUUCUACUCUUAAUAUCUUAGAGAUCUAUAUCCUCUUUUCCAUUCCCUCUCAUUAGUCUUGUCAUUUUUUAGCAGAUUUUUGCAAGCAUUUCCUAGCUGGUUUACCUUACAACUUUCACCUUUCUACUAUCAGAAAUAUAUGUAUAUGUGUGUCUGUGUAUGUAUGUAUGUGUCUAUAUUUAUAUCUUUAAAUCUGUUUUUUCUCAUGUCACACCCAUUUCUUGGGUUCCCGUUUGCCUAACAAGAUUACAUCUGAACUCCUUAGCAUGAUGUAUAACAGUUAUCAUGAUCUCCCUCCUGAAUUUCUUUUCUUGCACACACCAUUUGCAAAUCACCAGUGUCCUCCCAGGCAUAACAGGCUAAUUAUAAUUUUCCAAACACACUGUGUUUUGUGUGCAACCACUGAGGUAAAAAAUGCUGUCUGCAGGCUUAGAUGCACAGGGAGACUAGGCACCAGUAAUAUUUAGGUAAAUCAAAAAGAUACAAAAAGAAGUCAAGCUGACUGGCAUUCAGGCAGAGAGAUGAACCACUUUCUCCAAGGUGGAUGGAGAUGUGAUCUUCCUGGCUGCAAGAUCCUCAACAAGGGGUUGCACAGUAGAAGAUCAUGUUUGAAUAAAUGAGGAUCAUAGCAGAUCUUCUGGAGGUUUAACCACCUUUGCCAAUCUCAGCCUUCCCUACAGGACAUUGGGGAGGUUAUCCCUCUAAGUUUAGAUGUAAACAUGUCAGGAAUUACCUCCCCUGGGCCAAGUGCCCCACAUAAAUCUUGGAGUUAAGCAAGGCAGAUUCCAGAAUAAUAGGCAUGGACCCAAACCUCACAUAUGACUCUUUUGUGCCCCAGGUUAAUGCUGCUUGGCUCAAAGUCAUUUCAGAACUUGGAUUUAUCAUCGAGUCAUCUUUGGGAUCAUGCUAACCAGCUCUUUAGGCCAGCUAUAGGGACCAUUCUGCAAGAUGCAAGGGUCCCACCUGGGGGUCUUUGCAUGUCCCCUUG
ensembl:lncRNA